rnacentral:lncRNA from 1 species
ACUUGUCUUUUCUUUUCUUGAAUCUCUAUUUGUAGAUUCUUGAUAUGCAUACCAGAAUAUAGUGAGCUCCAUAGGUAUGCUUAAAGGUUAAUGAAUGACUUCAUUAGUGGAAUGUUUUCAAAGUUCAGCAUAUGCUCUGGAGAUGCAUCUUCCUAUCUCUAGGGCCGAAACUUUAAGAAAAACUCUAGAAAUACAUAGAAGAAACUUCACCUGGGCUUUCGAGUUUUUAAGAUUACAUUAAGAAACCAACUUAUGAAGAGCAAAAAGAAAAAAACAGAAU